GGACCAGACUUUGAUCCUGGCUCAGGAUGAACGCUGGCGGCGUGCCUAACACAUGCAAGUCGAACGAAGCACUGAGACUUCGGUUUUUGUGCUUAGUGGCGGACGGGUGAGUAACGCGUGAGCAAUCUGCCUUUCAGAGGGGGAUAACGAUUGGAAACGAUCGCUAAUACCGCAUAACGUAUUCGGAUGGCAUCAUCUGAAUACCAAAGGAGCAAUCCGCUGAAAGAUGAGCUCGCGUCUGAUUAGAUAGUUGGUGAGGUAACGGCCCACCAAGUCGACGAUCAGUAGCCGGACUGAGAGGUUGAACGGCCACAUUGGGACUGAGACACGGCCCAGACUCCUACGGGAGGCAGCAGUGGGGAAUAUUGCGCAAUGGGGGAAACCCUGACGCAGCAACGCCGCGUGAUUGAAGAAGGUCUUCGGAUUGUAAAAAUCUUUUAUCAAGGACGAAGAAGUGACGGUACUUGAUGAAUAAGCUCCGGCUAACUACGUGCCAGCAGCCGCGGUAAUACGUAGGGAGCAAGCGUUAUCCGGAUUUACUGGGUGUAAAGGGCGAGUAGGCGGAUUGGCAAGUUGGGAGUGAAAUGUCGGGGCUUAACCCCGGAACUGCUUCCAAAACUGUUGAUCUUGAGUGAUGGAGAGGCAGGCGGAAUUCCCAGUGUAGCGGUGAAAUGCGUAGAUAUUGGGAGGAACACCAGUGGCGAAGGCGGCCUGCUGGACAUUAACUGACGCUGAGGAGCGAAAGCGUGGGGAGCAAACAGGAUUAGAUACCCUGGUAGUCCACGCCGUAAACGAUGGAUACUAGGUGUGGGAGGUAUUGACCCCUUCCGUGCCGCAGUUAACACAUUAAGUAUCCCACCUGGGGAGUACGACCGCAAGGUUGCAACUCAAAGGAAUUGACGG
rnacentral:rRNA from 1 species